rnacentral:rRNA from 1 species
ACUCCUACGGGAGGCAGCAGUCGGGAAUUUUGCACAAUGGGCGAAAGCCUGAUGCAGCAACGCCGCGUGAGGGAUGAAGGCCUUCGGGUUGUAAACCUCUUUUCUCAGGGACGAUAAUGACGGUACCUGAGGAAUAAGCCACGGCUAACUACGUGCCAGCAGCCGCGGUAAUACGUAGGAGGCGAGCGUUAUCCGGAUUUACUGGGCG